rnacentral:rRNA from 1 species
CCUACGGGGGGCUGCAGUGGGGAAUAUUGGACAAUGGGGGGAACCCUGAUCCAGCCAUGCCGCGUGUGUGAAGAAGGCCCUCGGGGUGUAAAGCACUUUCAGUGAGGAAGAACGCCUGGUGGUUAAUACCCAUCAGGAAAGACAUCACUCACAGAAGAAGCACCGGCUAACUCCGUGCCAGCAGCCGCGGUAAUACGGAGGGUGCGAGCGUUAAUCGGAAUUACUGGGCGUAAAGCGCGCGUAGGUGGCUUGAUAAGCCGGUUGUGAAAGCCCCGGGCUCAACCUGGGAACGGCAUCCGGAACUGUCAAGCUAGAGUGCAGGAGAGGAAGGUAGAAUUCCCGGUGUAGCGGUGAAAUGCGUAGAGAUCGGGAGGAAUACCAGUGGCGAAGGCGGCCUUCUGGACUGACACUGACACUGAGGUGCGAAAGCGUGGGUAGCAAACAGGAUUAGAUACCCGUGUAGUC